rnacentral:rRNA from 1 species
GACGUAGGGGGCCAGCGUUGUUCGGAAUUAUUGGGCGUAAAGAGCGUGUAGGCGGCCAGGUAGGUCUGCUGUGAAAACUCGAGGCUUAACCUCGAGAUGUCGGCGGAAACCAUCUGGCUAGAGUCCGGAAGAGGAGAAUGGAAUUCCCGGUGUAGCGGUGAAAUGCGCAGAUAUCGGGAAGAACACCCGUGGCGAAGGCGGUUCUCUGGGACGGUACUGACGCUGAGACGCGAAAGCGUGGGGAGCGAACAGG